rnacentral:lncRNA from 1 species
CUCCUCAAUCGAUUAGACUAUGGCGAAUCACUUGUGUAUUGGUCUUUGGGAAAGUGUAAGACGCUAUUGCUCGCAACUGGGUCUUGAGUGUCGGUCUAACAAAAAAGUCAACUCUAGUUGCUUCUCUUGUCCGAUCGGAAACUGGUCUUCUUUUUAUGGUGUAAGGGUCGGCAACAGCUCCCUUUGGAAGGAAUCGAUCGUCAACGUCUUUGGUUCUCUCCACCCGCCGCCUUCGGUCAACUCAAACAACAGGCCAGGAAGGACAUUGUUGAAGGCUCACUGAGUGCUUCUA